rnacentral:rRNA from 1 species
UACGAAGGGUGCAAGCGUUACUCGGAAUUACUGGGCGUAAAGCGUGCGUAGGCGGUUUGUUAAGUCCGCUGUGAAAGCCCUGGGCUCAACCUGGGAAUUGCAGUGGAUACUGGCAAGCUAGAGUGCGGUAGAGGAUGGUGGAAUUCCCGGUGUAGCGGUGAAAUGCGUAGAGAUUAGGAAGAACACCAGUGGCGAAGGCGGCGACCUGGACGGACACUGACGCUGAGACGCGAAAGCGUGGGGGAGCAAACAGG